GAUGAACGCUGGCGGCGUGCUUAACACAUGCAAGUCGAACGAUGAAGCCCAGCUUGCUGGGUGGAUUAGUGGCGAACGGGUGAGUAACACGUGAGUAACCUGCUCUUAACUCUGGGAUAAGCCUGGGAAACUGGGUCUAAUACCGGAUAGGAGCGCCUACCGCAUGGUGGGUGUUGGAAAGAUUUAUCGGUUUUGGAUGGACUCGCGGCCUAUCAGCUUGUUGGUGAGGUAAUGGCUCACCAAGGCGACGACGGGUAGCCGGCCUGAGAGGGUGACCGGCCACACUGGGACUGAGACACGGCCCAGACUCCUACGGGAGGCAGCAGUGGGGAAUAUUGCACAAUGGGCGAAAGCCUGAUGCAGCGACGCCGCGUGAGGGAUGACGGCCUUCGGGUUGUAAACCUCUUUCAGUAGGGAAGAAGCGAAAGUGACGGUACCUGCAGAAGAAGCACCGGCUAACUACGUG
rnacentral:rRNA from 1 species